rnacentral:rRNA from 1 species
UGGGGAAUAUUGCACAAUGGGGGAAACCCUGAUGCAGCAACGCCGCGUGAGUGAAGAAGUAUUUCGGUAUGUAAAGCUCUAUCAGCAGGGAAGAAAAUGACGGUACCUGACUAAGAAGCCCCGGCUAACUACGUGCCAGCAGCCGCGGUAAUACGUAGGGGGCAAGCGUUAUCCGGAUUUACUGGGUGUAAAGGGUGCGCAGGCGGGACUGCAAGUUGGAUGUGAAAUACCGGAGCUCAACUCCGGGGCUGCAUCCAAAACUGUGGUUCUUGAGUGGAGCAGAGGUAAGCGGAAUUCCGAGUGUAGCGGUGAAAUGCGUAGAUAUUCGGAGGAACACCAGUGGCGAAGGCGGCUUACUGGGCUCUAACUGACGCUGAGGCACGAAAGUGUGGGUAGCAAACAGGAUUAGAUACCCUGGUAGU